rnacentral:lncRNA from 1 species
UUUUGUUUUUGGCUGAUAAGGCAACAAUCAUUUUACGUCUCCAGCCCCCAUAACCACUACCCGAGAAGGGAGUGGGAACAAGGGAGACCCCAGGAACAUAAGAAGAAUAUACAAAAAGGGGACUGGAAGAGUAUACAAAAGAGGAGGCACCAGUAUUUGUGUUAGAAGCCAUGGUCAAUGAACCGGCUUAAACGAACAACUUUUCAACAGGCAGAGUAUAACCAAAAACAGGUAUUCACACACAAUAACCAGCAAACAAAGUAUAACCAAAAACCAAAUCAGGUAUUCACAGAUAACACCAGAUGCUCAUAUACACAGAGUCAGAUAAUCACAUAUAAUACCGAAGAUAAGGACAGAGUUACCCUCCUUCUUCGCGACCGAAGAAGAUCGGCCUUCAAACAACAGAGAAACCCUAGGUAUCAAACCCUAGGCGUAACCUUGGAAAUCCUUACUGGAAAUUUGAUCAGGAACGUCAGAGAGGAACCCAAAACGUCCACUGAGUGAGAAUCGAACAACCGGAUGGCAGUAAAACUUUAGGUUAAACCACCACAAACCCUAGAAGUCGAUAGGUCACCCAAAAAUCAACCAAAAAUCAUCAUAAAAUCUUCCAGAACGUUCAGGAGAAGAAAAUACACUCCGAUAUCACGACGAAAGACUCAGAAAGGUGUCCGAUAGAUCGGAAUCUUCAUCGACCGUGAGGUCUUAGAAAACACCCCCAAAACCUCAAAACAAACUUCAUCCAAGACAAUGAAGUACAUAGAAACAUAGUCGGAUCGUCGUCGAGGCUCUGAUACCAUGUAAACAUUCAUAUUAUAAUAUUUUCAUAACAAAUAGUGCAUUAUUUAGAAGGUUGUUUUGUUUGAUUUUUUCAGCCAAUUAUGUAAACAUUCAUAUUAGACCGAGAAAUCAU